UACAGGGGGUGCAAACGUUGCUCGGAAUUAUUGGGCGUAAAGGGCUCGUAGGCGGCCAACUAAGUCGGACGUGAAAUCCCUCAGCUUAACUGGGGAACUGCGUCUGAUACUGGAUGGCUUGGAUUUGGGAGAGGGAUGCGGAAUUCCAGGUGUAGCGGUGAAAUGCGUAGAUAUCUGGAGGAACACCGGUGGCGAAGGCGGCAUCCUGGACCAACAUUGACGCUGAGGAGCGAAAGCCAGGGGAGCAAACGGG
rnacentral:rRNA from 1 species